rnacentral:rRNA from 1 species
GACGAACGCUGGCGGCGUGCUUAACACAUGCAAGUCGAACGGAAAGGCCCUGCUUUUGUGGGGUGCCCGAGUGGCGAACGGGUGAGUAACACGUGAGUAACCUGCCCUUGACUUUGGGAUAACUUCAGGAAACUGGGGCUAAGAUCGGAUAGGAGCUCCUGCUGCAUGGUGGGGGUUGGAAAGUUUCGGCGGUUGGGGAUGGACUCGCGGCUUAUCAGCUUGUUGGUGGGGUAGUGGCUUACCAAGGCUUUGACGGAUAGCCGGCCUGAGAGGGUGACCGGCCACAUGGGGACUAAGGUACGGACCAGACUCCAACGGGAGGCAGCAGUGGGAAAUAUUGCACAAUGAGCGGACGCCUGUUGCAGCGACGCCGCGUGCGGAAUGACGGCCUUCGGGUUGUGAACCGCUUUCGCCUGUGACGAAGCGUGAGUGACGGUAAUGGGUAAAGAAGCACCGGCUAACUACGUG